AAUAGUAAUAUUUAAUAAUCAUUAAAACGAGAAAAUAAAUUAUUUACAUAAAAUGUUUAUAGAAACUAAAUUACUGCAUAAUAGAUGAGAAACAGUGACGUAUGGUGUGUUCUUUUUUUUUUACAUCAUUACAAAUAAUAAGUCUCUUUUUGAGAGGGACCGGGCUCGAACCCGCAUCUGGUGAGAAGGCAAACAGAGGUGAAAACCAUUAGGUCACUUGCUC
rnacentral:lncRNA from 1 species